rnacentral:ncRNA from 2 species
AGCGAAUUGGCACACGCCGGUAACGGGAAUGUGGUGCGUGCCUUUGGCACAAUUCCGCAGCUGUCCCUGCAACUGUAAGCGGUGAGUGAUUGUUUCGCGCGCGUUCCAAUGGGGCGCGCAGCCACUGGGCCUUUUUGAGGCAUCCGGGAAGGCGCAAGCAAAAGCUUUGACCCGCAAGCCAGGAGACCGACCGGCGCGUGUCGCUUGUG